AUUGAACGCUGGCGGCAGGCCUAACACAUGCAAGUCGAGCGAGCGGCGGACGGGUGAGUAAUGUCUGGGAAACUGCCUGAUGGAGGGGGAUAACUACUGGAAACGGUAGCUAAUACCGCAUACCAUCAGAUGUGCCCAGAUGGGAUUAGCUAGUAGGUGGGGUAACGGCUCACCUAGGCGACGAUCCCUAGCUGGUCUGAGAGGAUGACCAGCCAAACUGGAACUGAGACACGGUCCAGACUCCGACGGGAGGCAGCAGUGGGGAAUAGUGCACAAUGGGCGCAAGCCUGAUGAAGCAAUGCCGCGUGAGUGAAGAAGGCCUUAGGGUGGUAAAGCACUUUCAGCGGGGAGGCGUUAACCGCAGAAGAAGCACCGGCUAACUCCGUGCCAGCCGCCGCGGUAAUAC
rnacentral:rRNA from 1 species